GGGUUGUGAGGUUAAGCGACUAAGCGUACACGGUGGAUGCCCUGGCAGUCAGAGGCGAUGAAGGACGUGCUAAUCUGCGAUAAGCGCCGGUAAGGUGAUAUGAACCGUUAUAACCGGCGAUUUCCGAAUGGGGAAACCCAGUGUGACUCGUCACACUAUCAUUAACUGAAUCCAUAGGUUAAUGAGGCGAACCGGGGGAACUGAAACAUCUAAGUACCCCGAGGAAAAGAAAUCAACCGAGAUUCCCCCAGUAGCGGCGAGCGAACGGGGAGGAGCCCAGAGCCUGAAUCAGCAUAUGUGUUAGUGGAAGCGUCUGGAAAGGCGCGCGAUACAGGGUGACAGCCCCGUACACAAAAGCGCAUGUGCUGUGAGCUCGAUGAGUAGGGCGGGACACGUGGUAUCCUGUCUGAAUAUGGGGGGACCAUCCUCCAAGGCUAAAUACUCCUGACUGACCGAUAGUGAACCAGUACCGUGAGGGAAAGGCGAAAAGAACCCCGGCGAGGGGAGUGAAAAAGAACCUGAAACCGUGUACGUACAAGCAGUGGGAGCCCCACCACUAAGCCAGUGGUGAACUCCACAUACGCAUCCUUUGCUGAGGAUACGGUU
rnacentral:rRNA from 1 species